AUUGAACGCUGGCGGCAGGCCUAACACAUGCAAGUCGAACGAGUGGCGGACGGGUGAGUAAUGUAUGGGACACUGCCUGAUGGAGGGGGAUAACUACUGGAAACGGUAGCUACUACCGCAUAACAUCGACUGUGCCCAGAUGGGAUUAGCUAGUAGGUGGGGUAAAGGCUCACCUAGGCCACGAUCCAGAGCUGGUCUGAGAGGAGGACCAGCCACACUGGAACUGAGACACGGUCCAUAAUCCUACGGGAGGCAGCAGUGGGGAAUAUUGCACAAUGGGCGCAAGCCUGAUGCAGCCAUGCCGCGUGUAUGAAGAAGGCCUUCGGGUUGGAAAGUACUUUCAGCGGGGAGGCGUUACCCGCAGAAGAAGCACCGGCUAACUCCGUGCCAGCAGCCGCGGUAAUUC
rnacentral:rRNA from 1 species